rnacentral:rRNA from 1 species
UACGUAGGCAGCAAGCGUUGUUCGGAAUUACUGGGCGUAAAGAGUGUGUAGGCGGUGCUCUAAGUUCGGUGUGAAAUCUCCCGGCUCAACUGGGAGGGUGCGCCGAAUACUGAAUGACUAGAGUGCGGGAGAGGAAAGUGGAAUUCCUGGUGUAGCGGUGAAAUGCGUAGAUAUCAGGAGGAACACCGGUGGUGUAGACGGCUUUCUGGACCGUAACUGACGCUGAGACACGAAAGCGUGGGUAGCAAACAGG